AUCGAUGUGAGAGGUGGGAGGGAUGACUGAAAUGAAGGGCGGACAUGCUGAAAUGAAAACUGGGGACUUGGGAGGUACCUUUGGAAAUAAGCAAAGAUUUGAGGGGUAAAUAUAGAAGCAGCCCUUGUUUUAGGAAGACAUGGUAGAUUCAGGGGUAUAGAUUGAAAAGGAUGUGGUUUCGUUUGAAACUAACUAAGUUUGGAUGAUUUAUAUAUGAUUUAACAAAGAUUGGAUUGAGGGUCUAGCGUGAGAAAUAAAAGCCAAACAUCCAAGAGCUCAGAGCUUAGAGAAUCACAUUUAGCUUUUUAGAAGGGCUGAGAACUCCAUCGAAAAUACAAUCGGAGAGCAAAAGAGAAGGAAACGAUGGAUAAAGAAAAAAAUCCAAAAGCAAAAGAAGGUGCCAAAGAGCAGUAAGUUUAUUCUCCUCAACCUAUGAAGAAAGUCUUUGAUCAUUCUCAGUUAAUCACUCACCUCAUUCUUGUAGAUCCUAUCCAUUUUUUUUUGCAAGUUUUGUGGGGAGCUUUUCAACUCCCUCAAGGAGAUCUUGCUCCAUGUGGGAGCACACUGGGCCCUUAAGAAGCCUGAACCAUGAUUAAUAUGAGGUAUGAUUUGGAUUCAGAUUGAUGCAUGCCAAGUGUUUGAUGAAAUGAGUGGAAAAAGGAAAUAGACUGCGUUAAACGAACAUUUGAUGACCUAACUCAUACAUCAUAUUAGUCAUGGUUCAGGCUUUUUAAGGAUCUAGUGUGCUCCCGCAUAGAGCAAGAUCUCCCUGAGGGAGUUGAAGGACUCCCCACAAAACUUGUAAAAAAACUAGAUCGGAUCUACAAGAAUGAGGUGAGUGAUUAACUGAGAAUGAUCAAAGACUUUUUUUUCAUAGGUUGAGGAGAAUAAACUUACUGCUCUUUGGCACCUUCUUUUGCUUUUGGAUUUUGUCUUUACCCAUCGUUUCCUUCUCUUUUGAUCUCCGAUUGUAUUUUCGAUGGAGUUCUCAGCCCUUCUAAAAAGCUAAAUGCGAUUCUCUGAGCUCUUGGGUGUUUGACUUUUAUUUUUCACGCUAGACCCCCAAUCCAAUCUUUGUUAAUCAUAUAUAAAUCCUCCAACUUUUAAGUUAGUUCCAAAUCAAACCACAUCUUUUUCAAUCUACACCCUUGAAUCUACCAUGUCUUCCUAAAACAAGGGCUGCUUCGAUAUUUACCCCUCAAAUCUUUGCUUAUUACCAAAGGCAACCCCAAGUCUCCAGUUUUCAUUUCAGUAUGCCCGCCCUUCACUGAAAACUGACCCGCUAUACUGACUAAACUAACCUUUUGUAGCUAAUUAGUUAUAAACCCCAUGUUAAUUAACCGCCGGCCCCCUAAAAAAAAGCAAUCUGGCGAUAUUCUCUCUUGAAAACCUGAUGACCAGGCCCCCGACCUGUUCCGAGCUCUCCUGCCAUUCUUCUCCCCCACUUAAUUCUUCUCCCGUGCCUGCAUCAUGUUUGAAGCAUCAUUGGUGCCCAAGUGUUUGUAGGAAUGCCUCAACGGGAUAAUAGCAAGCGUGCAGCAUGUUCGUUGCUGUGUUUCACAUUGUACCAAUCUGUUUGUCAAAAUGCAUCAAUGAAGCAGAGCGACGUGCUUUUCAGCUGUCCAUGUAGAAUACUAUCACCCUUACCAUAUUACAGCAGACCAUACGAAACGCAACCAUGCAACCAUCUAAUCCAUUCUAAAUACGCAGCCUCCCUCUUCAAAUUGAAGAUGGUAGAAUCCAGAAAGGUGAAAAGCAUGAAUCAGUCAGGUUCGUACAUGACCGAGGCCGGUCCGCCAUCAACGUCCCUUCAUCCAUGUCAAAAGUGCACAAAUCGCCAUCCUCGACAUAACGGAUGCAGUUCCCUUUCAAUCCCAGCUUGCUUGCCAAACAGGAUGUUGAACAGCCAGUCGCUCAGAAAGAAAACUCGAUCGCCAAUUUCCCUCACUGGCUCCCACGCUUCCUUCUCAAAGUCCAUCUUGUAAAUACCAAUGCCAGCUUCUGUUCGGCUCCCCAGCAGCAAAUUCCUCAUGACGAGAAAGAUAUCUCUGCAGGAUUCAACCAUGGGAAUCCACAGAUGCACAUAUUCCAGGCAAUAGUUCGGGUCUCUCUACUCUGACAAAAGAGGUUUCAGGGCAGGGAGCAGUAUGUAUAAGUACAAGGUUCUUGCGGAGCGUGAUCCCGUAAAUUUUUCCAUUUAACCCGAUGACAUUGUUAAGAGCAUCCUCCUCUCCGAGAUUUUUAUUGCAGUCGUGAGAAAUCCAACUUUGUUCAGAUCCUAGGUUGCAGAAGUGAACUCGCGGGUUGUUGAAGUCAGCGAGCAUCACGACACAAUCAGGGUUAUUUGGGGAUGAAGAUAGUAUGAGCUUGUGAUCCCUGCGGCCCUCAGUAUCUUCAAGAUUCAGAUAAGGUUGCAGGGCUCAGCAAGAAACAACAGGGGGAGAGUCUUGGCCGUGCGCGAGAACCCAUCCUAGCGGAGAUGGCCAGCAAAUUCUCUACAUUUUCAAUUUCAGGCACAUCUCCAACAGAGAAUCCACUCCCAUUCAAGCCGACAGUAGUUUGUGAGAAUUUGUCAUCUUCCUCAUGGUCGGAGACGAGGCUCGGACCUGACAUCGAUUCUUUCGUCCCUUCCAUCGGACUUCCUGUGACAAUCAGUGUUUUUUUUUUUUUGCAACAAUCAGUGUUUUUUUUCCAUCGGAUUUUUUUCCCUUCAAUUUUUUACAUGUUAAACAUAAAUUUAAGUGCAAGAGGUAGUUAUUCCUCUUUGUGUUAGAGGUGUA